AGUGAACGCUGGCGGUAGGCCUAACACAUGCAAGUCGAACGGCAGCACAGUAAGAGCUUGCUCUUACGGGUGGCGAGUGGCGGACGGGUGAGGAAUACAUCGGAAUCUACUUUUUCGUGGGGGAUAACGUAGGGAAACUUACGCUAAUACCUCAUAUGACCUACGGGUGAAAGCAGGGGAUCUUCGGACCUUGCGCGAUUGAAUUAGCCGAUGUCGGAUUAGCUAGUUGGCGGGGUAAAGGCCCACCAAGGCGACGAUCCGUAGCUGGUCUGAGAGGAUGAUCAGCCACACUGGAACUGAGACACGGUCCAGACUCCUACGGGAGGCAGCAGUGGGGAAUAUUGGACAAUGGGCGCAAGCCUGAUCCAGCCAUACCGCGUGGGUGAAGAAGGCCUUCGGGUUGUAAAGCCCUUUUGUUGGGAAAGAAAAGCAGCAGGUUAAUACCCCGCUGUUCUGACGGUACCCAAAGAAUAAGCACCGGCUAACUUCGUG
rnacentral:rRNA from 1 species